rnacentral:rRNA from 1 species
CGCAAUGGGCGAAAGCCUGACGGAGCAAUAUCGCGCGAGGGCCGAAGGUCCUUGGAUUGUAAACCUCUUUUAUCAGGGAAGAAGUUCUGACGGUACCUGAUGAAUAAGCAUCGGCUAACUCCGUGCCAGCAGCCGCGGUAAUACGGAGGAUGCAAGCGUUAUCCGGAAUUAUUGGGCGUAAAGCGUCCGUAGGUGGUUAUGCAAGUCUGCCGUUAAAGAAUGGAGCUUAACUCCAUAGGAGCGGUGGAAACUGCAAGACUAGAGUACAGUAGGGGUAGCAGGAAUUCCCAGUGUAGCGGUGAAAUGCGUAGAUAUUGGGAAGAACAUCGGUGGCGAAAGCGUGCUACUGGGCUGAAACUGACACUGAGGGACGAAAGCUAGGGUAGCGAAAGGGAUUAGAUACCCCUGUAGUCCUAGCCGUAAACGAUGGAUACUAGGCGUGGCUUGUAUCGACCCGAGCCGUGCCGAAGCUAACGCGUUAAGUAUCCCGCCUGGGGAGUACGCACGCAAGUGUGAAACUCAAAGGAAUUGACGGGGGCCCGCACAAGCGGUGGAGUAUGUGGUUUAAUUCGAUGCAACGCGAAGAACCUUACCAAGGCUUGACAUCCCUGGAAUCCUGCGGAAACGUGGGAGUGCCUUAGGGAGCCAGGAGACAGGUGGUGCAUGGCUGUCGUCAGCUCGUGUCGUGAGAUGUUGGGUUAAGUCCCGCAACGAGCGCAACCCUCGUUUUUAGUUGCCAUCAUUAAGUUGGGCACUCUAGAGAGACUGCCGGUGACAAACCGGAGGAAGGUGGGGAUGACGUCAAGUCAUCAUGCCCCUUACGCCUUGGGCUACACACGUACUACAAUGGUCGGGACAACGGGCAGCGAGCUCGCGAGAGUAAGCGAAUCCCAUCAAACCCGGCCUCAGUUCAGAUUGUUGUCUGCAAGGCGCCGGCAUGAAGUACCAAUCGCUAG